GGGGAAGAGACUGUGGGAGAGAUCCAGAAUAAUAUAUGCAGUGCUAAAUACAAGCAAGUCAAUGGAUGGAAUUGCACUGCAGUGGAAUUUUACAGAGGAAGAAGACAGAAUGGUGUAAUACAUGUUGGAAAGUAUGUUGUCCAGAAAAUACUGACCUUAUUCUUUGUGGUUUUUAAAGGGACACAGUCAGUCACCUUGGAACAUAUUCCUUCAAUAAAUACCAAUUAAAAUUGGUUUGA